rnacentral:rRNA from 1 species
CCUACGGGAGGCAGCAGUGAGGAAUAUUGGUCAAUGGACGCAAGUCUGAACCAGCCAUGCCGCGUGCAGGAAGACGGCUCUAUGAGUUGUAAACUGCUUUUGUACGAGGGUAAACGCAGAUACGCGUAUCUGUCUGAAAGUAUCGUACGAAUAAUGAUCGGCUAACUCCGUGCCAGCAGCCGCGGUAAUACGGAAGAUUCAAGCGUUAUCCGGAUUUAUUGGGUUUAAAGGGUGCGUAGGCGGUCGGAUAAGUUAGAGGUGAAAUCCCGAGGCUCAACUUCGGAAUUGCCUCUGAUACUGUUCGGCGAGAGAGUAGUUGCGGUAGGCGGAAUGUAUGGUGUAGCGGUGAAAUGCUUAGAGAUCAUACAGAACACCGAUUGCGAAGGCAGCUUACCAAGCUACUUCUGACGUUGAGGCACGAAAGCGUGGGGAGCAAACAGGAUUAGAUACCCGAGUAGUC